AUUGAACGCUGGCGGCAGGCCUAACACAUGCAAGUCGAGCGGAUGAAGGGAGCUUGCUCCUGGAUUCAGCGGCGGACGGGUGAGUAAUGCCUAGGAAUCUGCCUGGUAGUGGGGGAUAACGUCCGGAAACGGGCGCUAAUACCGCAUACGUCCUGAGGGAGAAAGUGGGGGAUCUUCGGACCUCACGCUAUCAGAUGAGCCUAGGUCGGAUUAGCUAGUUGGUGGGGUAAAGGCCUACCAAGGCGACGAUCCGUAACUGGUCUGAGAGGAUGAUCAGUCACCCUGGAACUGGGACACGGUCCAGACUCCUACGGGAGGCAGCAGUGGGGAAUAUUGGACAAUGGGCGAAAGCCUGAUCCAGCCAUGCCGCGUGUGUGAAGAAGGUCUUCGGAUUGUAAAGCACUUUAAGUUGGGAGGAAGGGCAGUAAGUUAAUACCCUGCUGUUUUGACGUUACCAACAGAAUAAGCACCGGCUAACUUCGUG
rnacentral:rRNA from 1 species